rnacentral:rRNA from 1 species
CCUACGGGAGGCAGCAGUGAGGAAUAUUGGUCAAUGGCCGUAAGCCUGAACCAGCCAAGUCGCGUGAGGGAUGACUGCCCUAUGGAUCGUAAACCUCUUUUAUAAGGGAAUAAUGUGUGCGACGUGUCCCGUUUUGUCUGUACCUUAUGAAUAAGGAUCGGCUAACUCCGUGCCAGCAGCCGCGGUAAUACGGAGGAUCCGAGCGUUAUCCGGAUUUAUUGGGUUUAAAGGGUGCGUAGGCGGCUUUUUAAGUUAGUGGUUAAACUUCGGGGCUUACCCUUGAAUUGCCGUUAAUACUGUGAGGCUCGAGUACGUACGAGGCAGGCGGAAUACGUGGUGUAGCGGUGAAAUGCUUAGAUAUAACGCAGAACCCCGAUAGCGAAGGCAGCCUGCCAGGCCAUGACUGACGCUGAUGCACGAGAGCGUGGGUAUCAAACAGGAUUAGAUACCCUUGUAGUC